rnacentral:rRNA from 1 species
CCUACGGGUGGCAGCAGUGAGGAAUAUUGGUCAAUGGACACAAGUCUGAACCAGCCAUGCCGCGUGCAGGAAGACGGCUCUAUGAGUUGUAAACUGCUUUUGUACGAGGGUAAACGCUGAUACUUGUAUCUGUCUGAAAGUAUCGUACGAGUAAGGGUCGGAUCAUUCCGUGCCGGCCGCCGCGGUAAUACGAAGGAUUCAAGCGUUAUCCGGAUUUGUUGGGUGUAAAGGGUACGGAGGAGGUCGGAUAAGUUAGAGGUGAAGUCCCGAGGCUCAAAUUCGGAAUUGCAUCUGAUACUGUUCGGCUAGAGAGUAGUUGCGGUGGGCAGAAUGUAUGGUGUAGCGGUGAAAUGCUUAGAGAUCAUACAGAACACCGAUUGCGAAGGCAGCUUACCAGGCUACUUCUGACGUUGAGGCACGAAAGCGUGGGGAGCAAACAGGAUUAGAUACCCGGGUAGUC